UGGACAGACUGUUUUGAGUACUAGACUGUGGUUUAACAAGAGUCUAGAAAGGUGGUGUCUGGGUUGGAGGUGGAGUUUGUGAUUAUACAUAAUUGACUUACGGUCCAGGUGUAAAGGGUUUCUGUUAGAGGUCAAGUAAGGAGGCUGAAAGGGAUGUGUGUCUGGUGGUGGUUGUGUUUGGGUUAAACUAACAGGUCGUGGUGUCUCAAGGUGUGUGGUGGUGUUGGGUCUGAUGGUGGUUGUGUCUGGGUUAAACUAACAGCUUGUGGUGUCUCAAGGUGUGUGGUGGUGUUGGGUCUGAUGGUGGUUGUGUUUGGGUUAAACUAACAGGUCGUGGUGUCUCAAGGUGUGUGGUGGUGUUGGGUCUGAUGGUGGUUGUGUUUGGGUUAAACUAACAGGUCGUGGUGUCUCAAGGUGUGUGGUGGUGUUGGGUCUGAUGGUGGUUGUGUUUGGGUUAAACUAACAGGUCGUGGUGUCUCAAGGUGUGUGGUGGUGUUGGGUCUGAUGGUGGUUGUGUCUGGGUUAAACUAACAGCUCGUAGUGUCUCAAGGUGUGUGGUGGUGUUGGGCCUGAUGGUGGUUGUGUUUGGGUUAAACUAACAGGUCGUGGUGUCUCAAGGUGUGUGGUGGUGUUGGGUCUGAUGGUGGUUGUGUUUGGGUUAAACUAACAGGUCGUGGUGUCUCAAGGUGUGUGGUGGUGUUGGGCCUGAUGGUGGUUGUGUUUGGGUUAAACUAACAGGUCGUGGUGUCUCAAGGUGUGUGGUGGUGUUGGGUCUGAUGGUGGUUGUGUUUGGGUUAAACUAACAGGUCGUGGUGUCUCAAGGUGUGUGGUGGUGUUGGGCCUGAUGGUGGUUGUGUUUGGGUUAAACUAACAGGUCGUGGUGUCUCAAGGUGUGUGGUGGUGUUGGGUCUGAUGGUGGUUGUGUUUGGGUUAAACUAACAGGUCGUGGUGUCUCAAGGUGUGUGGUGGUGUUGGGUCUGAUGGUGGUUGUGUCUGGGUUAAACUAACAGGUCGUGGUGUCUCAAGGUGUGUGGUGGUGUUGGGUCUGAUGGUGGUUGUGUUUGGGUUAAACUAACAGGUCGUGGUGUCUCAAGGUGUGUGGUGGUGUUGGACUGGAUGGUGGUUGUGU